rnacentral:rRNA from 1 species
UGACUNGAGUGCAGAAGGGGAGAGUGGAAUNCCAUGUGUAGCGGUGAAAUGCGUAGAUAUAUGGAGGAACACCAGUGGCGAAAGCGGCUCUCUGGUCUGUCACUGACGCUGAGGCUCGAAAGCGUGGGUAGCGAACAGGAUUAGAUACCCUGGUAGUNCACGCCGUAAACGAUGAGUGCUAGGUGUUAGGCCCUUUCCGGGGCUUAGUGCCGGAGCUAACGCAAUAAGCACUCCGCCUGGGGAGUACGACCGCAAGGUUGAAACUCAAAGGAAUUGACGGGGGCCCGCACAAGCGGUGGAGCAUGUGGUUUAAUUCGAAGCAACGCGAAGAACCUUACCAGGUCUCGACAUCCCGAUGCUAUUCUUAGAGAUAGGAAGUUACUUCGGUACAUCGGAGACAGGUGGUGCAUGGUUGUCGUCAGCUCGUGUCGUGAGAUGAUGGGUUAAGUCCCGCAACGAGCGCAACCCUUAUUGUUAGUUGCCAUCAUUAAGUUGGGCACUCUAGCGAGACUGCCGGUAAUAAACCGGAGGAAGGUGGGGAUGACGUCAAAUCAUCAUGCCCCUUAUGACCUGGGCUACACACGUGCUACAAUGGUCGGUACAACGAGUUGCGAGCCGGUGACGGCAAGCUAAUCUCUGAAAGCCGAUCUCAGUUCGGAUUGGAGGCUGCAACUCGCCUCCAUGAAGUCGGAAUCGCUAGUAAUCGCGGAUCAGCACACCGCGGUGAAUACGUUCCCGGGCCUUGUACACACCGCCCGUCACACCACGAGAGUUUGUAACACCCGAAGUCGGUGAGGUAACCUUUUAGGGGCCAGCCGCCUAAG